rnacentral:rRNA from 1 species
AUUGAACGCUGGCGGCAGGCCUAACACAUGCAAGUCGUGCGGAGGAAGGGUGCUUGUUUCUGGUAGCAGCGGCGGACGGGUGUGUAAUGCAUAGGAAUCUGCCUGGUAGUGGGGGAUAAGGUCUGCACACGGGAGCUACUAAAGCAUACGUCAUGAGGGAGAAAGUGGGGGACCUUCGGACGUCACGCUAGCAGAUGAGUCUAGGUCGGUUUAGCUAGUUGGUGGGGUAAAGGCCUACCCAGGCGACGAUCCGUAACUGGACUGAGAGGAUGCUCACUCAGCCUGGAACGCAGAUACGUACCAUAACCCUACGGGAGGCAGCAGUGCCGAAUAUUGGACAACAGGCGCAACUCUGUCACAGCCAUGCCUCGUGUGUAGAGAAGGACCUCGGACUGGAAAGCACUUCACGUUGGGAGGAAGGGCAGUAAGUUAAUACCUAGCUGUUUUGAUGUUACCAACAGAAUAAGCACGUGCUAACUUCGUG